CAGUCGCCGCGGUAAUACGUAGGUGGCAAGCGUUGUCCGGAAUUAUUGGGCGUAAAGGGCUCGCAGGCGGUUUCUUAAGUCUGAUGUGAAAGCCCCCGGCUCAACCGGGGAGGGUCAUUGGAAACUGGGAAACUUGAGUGCAGAAGAGGAGAGUGGAACUCCACGUGUAGCGGUGAAAUGCGUAGAGAUGUGGAGGAACACCAGUGGCGAAGGCGACUCUCUGGUCUGUAACUGACGCUGAGGAGCGAAAGCGCGGGGAGCGAACAGGAUUAGAUACCCCCGUAGUCCCUGUCUCUUAUAC
rnacentral:rRNA from 1 species